AAACCACUUCAGAGAGCUCUCAGGGCUCCUUGCAGAUGGGGCGAGUUCCUGCAGCUUCAGCUCCUGCACUGCCCACGUCCAAAUCUGGGCCUUUGAAAGGACAGCAUAGCUUCGUGCCAGAGACCUAGGGGACAGAGUUGCUGCCUCCUGGUGAAGGAGAAGAGCUAGGAGACCUACUGGAGCAGUAGACCACCAUAGAGAUCAGAUUGUCCCAGGGAUGAUAUUCUGGUUUUACGCUGCCAUUGCUCUCCUGUUCAGUCCAGUGUGAGGUGGCCACCAGGCUCCCCCAGUUCCAGGUGUCUCCUGACCAGACCAGAUCCCGGAUGGAGAAGUUCACCCCACUUCGCGCAUGUCGUCUCCCGAGGGCUGUUUGUCCACCUCCUGCCUUGCUGGAGAGGAUGUCAAGGGAGAGAUGGUGAUUGGAAGAGGAGAGGCACUCUGAAACAGAAACAGGACAACCAGCAUUGCCUGCCAGCGGUGAGGGCUUCUCCAACCUUUUCCAAUACUUCUCCAAGCUUCCCAAGCCAGAAAAUAACAGCUGAGGCCCUCAGCUCCCAGGAAAAGAUGUUUUUUCAGUGGACAGAGGAUUACAGAGUGUCCGAAGCUCUGACACUGCCAGGGAUUUUGCAUUACCGCGCCUGAUAAUUCUCCCAGGAGCCUGUGCACAUAUUCUCAUGAAUGAAAACUACUGAGGUACUUCACUGGUAUUUGCAAUUCCUUUUAUUCACGCCAAAUUUUUCUUGCUGAGGCUGCUCGCACAAAGGGCGAAUAAAUAUUCAGAGUGCUCCUGCCUGAAACGCGCCUGCCGAUGUUAUGAAAUGUUCUUCUUAUUUUCCCAGUGCAUUCAAGCAAUUUCAGUCGAGGAACCUUUAAAGAAACUCCUGCUUGUAAAGGGAAGGUGUCUGAAUAGGGGAACAGAAAGAAGAUCACACGAUCACCUCCUCACCUAAGUGAAAAAAACUAGCAGUGACUUGGGGACACCCAGAUAUUAAUUGAGAAGCUGAAAUGAGCCAUUUAAUGCUCUUUGCACAGGUAGUAAAUGUUUCUCCCAUUGACUUGUUUGCAUGCAUGUUUUGUUUUGUGCUCUUUAACAAGAGGAGGAGGAAGGAAAAAAAGUUGCAGCCAAAAUACUUGGUGUGAUUCCACUUGCUCUACUCUUUUCUUAAGC